AUUGAACGCUGGCGGCAGGCCUAACACAUGCAAGUCGAGCGGAUGAAGGGAGCUUGCUCCUGGAUUCAGCGGCGGACGGGUGAGUAAUGCCUAGGAAUCUGCCUGGUAGUGGGGGAUAACGUCCGGAAACGGGCGCUAAUACCGCAUACGUCCUGAGGGAGAAAGUGGGGGAUCUUCGGACCUCACGCUAUCAGAUGGGCCUAGGUCGGAUUAGCUAGUUGGUGGGGUAAAGGCCUACCAAGGCGACGAUCCGUAACUGGUCUGAGAGGAUGAUCAGUCACACUGGAACUGAGACACGGUCCAGACUCCUACGGGAGGCAGCAGUGGGGAAUAUUGGACAAUGGGCGAAAGCAUGAUCCAGCCAUGCCGCGUGUGUGAAGAAGGUCUUCGGAUUGUAAAGCACUUUAAGUUGGGAGGAAGGGCAGUAAGUUAAUACCUUGCUGUUUUGACGUUACCAACAGAAUAAGCACCGGCUAACUUCGUG
rnacentral:rRNA from 1 species